rnacentral:tRNA from 3 species
GCCGGUGUGGCGGAAUUGGCAGACGCACUUGACUCAAAAUCAAGCGGUUUAACAGCCGUGCCGGUUCGAGUCCGGCCACCGGCA